GGAAGGCUUCCCGACUUCCCUUACAGGCUAGCCUCCCUCUGGCCUGUCUCCUCAGCACCAACCACACACUUCCUUCUGCAGCCCUUAUUUUGCAUUUAUUUCCGUGAUUGCCGGAUGCGUGUCUUUCUCCCUCCCACCGGGAUGACAAGCCUGUCCUCUGUUGAUGCUCCCUGUGCCUUCUCUACCACUCAGCAGGCUUCUUGCCAGGGAACUCUUGAUAAAUACAUGUUGAUGUACAGAGAGUGCUCACGCCCUGCAGCUGCUCAAAGACUCUGAAGCAAGGAAGGGGACCCAUAAGCCAGCAAGCGGCUCAGUGGAGUGGCAUCCCCACCCGAGAGACUUGGGGACCUGACAUGAGGAAUCAGGAGAGAAUUCCCAAGCCAGAGGCCGGCUGUGAAUCCAAGAACACAGAGAUCCAGUCUUGAGGGCAAUGUGUCCGGGCAGGAGUGGGUCUCCGUGGAAUCUCAGGCCGUCAGCUACCAUCAUGUAUACAGAUGUUCCAUGAGGAGGUUUGCUUGGAUCCCACGGCCCAGCAUUCCUGUUCAGCCUCAUUCUCCCUCUGAUCCAGCAUCGUUUCUGAGACCUGUCUCCCAGGUGGUCAUUUCUCUUCUCUCCUGUCUGGCAUCCGAUCCUAAGUAAACAAGUGACUAAUAUAAUCAUGAUGAUAGACUCAGAUUGUAUUUCAAGUGUUGUGUACACCGAGACAGUGUAUACAGAGAUAGAUCAUGUACACCGAGACUGUGUAUACAGAGAUAGAUCGUGUACACCAAGACAGUGUAUACAGAGAUAGAUCGUGUACACCGAGACAGUGUAUACAGAGAUAGAUCGUGUACACUGAGACUGUGUACAUUGAGACUGUGUAUACCAAGACUGUGUAUACAGAGAUUGUGUACAC
rnacentral:lncRNA from 1 species